UGGAAGUUCAAAACAGGAGAACCAAAUUGCAGUUUUGCCAAAGUAUAAAGGGCGUUGAGUAAAUAAAUCUAUAGCAAUGUGAACAACUUCUAGACUAUUCCAAAGCAGGAAAAACAAAAGGCAGUUGAACGGCUGAGAUGAAGUAGAAGCUUCAAGAAGAAACAAUGACCGUCUAUUCAAACCCUUUUGAGUUUUGGUUUCAUUAUAUAACCUAAGCGUCUCUUCAUCACUCUAGCAGUUUCCCUUUUCCAACGAAGAAGAUAAACUCACUCCACCUACUUCUUCAACUGGGAUACAUGGCGUCUACUUUUGCUGGUAUGUCCUCAGCAGGUCCUUUGGCUGCUCCCGGCACUUCUUCAAACAAGCUUUCCUCUUUUGCUAAUAUAUCUUCUGUAUCUUUCGGGAGAAAAAGAAAUGUUGUACUUAGACAGAGUCGUGCUCCAAAAAUUACAGCUGCAGCUAAAGAGUUGUAUUUCAAUAAGGAUGGGUCAGCUAUCAAGAAGCUGCAGAAUGGUGUGAACAAACUUGCUGAUCUAGUUGGAGUUACUCUUGGCCCGAAAGGAAGGAAUGUUGUCCUGGAGAGCAAAUAUGGCGCUCCAAAAAUUGUUAAUGAUGGAGUUACGGUGGCCAGGGAGGUUGAAUUAGAGGAUCCAGUAGAAAACAUUGGUGCAAAACUAGUGAGACAAGCUGCUGCCAAAACCAAUGACCUGGCUGGGGAUGGGACUACAACAUCUGUCGUGCUAGCCCAGGGCCUUAUUGCUGAAGGUGUUAAGGUGGUUGCAGCUGGUGCAAACCCUGUCCUGAUCACCAGAGGAAUUGAGAAGACCGCAAAAGCAUUAGUAGAUGAGUUGAAGAAUAUGUCAAAAGAGGUGGAAGACAGUGAACUAGCAGAUGUGGCUGCAGUAAGUGCUGGGAACAACUAUGAAGUAGGGAGUAUGAUUGCUGAAGCCAUGAGCAAGGUUGGAAGGAAAGGUGUUGUGACGCUAGAAGAGGGAAAAAGUGCUGAAAACAGCCUCCGGGUGGUUGAAGGAAUGCAAUUUGACCGUGGUUAUAUCUCUCCUUACUUUGUAACUGACAGUGAGAAAAUGGCUGUUGAAUAUGAAAACUGUAAGUUACUACUUGUUGAUAAAAAGAUAACAAAUGCAAGAGAUCUUGUUAAUGUCCUGGAGGAUGCUAUCAGAAAUGGUUAUCCAAUUUUAAUUAUUGCUGAAGAUAUAGAGCAAGAAGCUCUGGCAACACUUGUAGUCAAUAAGCUUAGAGGUGCCUUAAAGGUUGUUGCACUAAAAGCUCCUGGUUUUGGUGAGCGCAAAAGCCAAUAUCUUGAUGACAUCGCAACCCUUACUGGAGGCACCGUGAUUAGGGAGGAAGUUGGCCUUACCUUGGACAAGGCUGACAAGGAAGUUCUAGGCCAUGCUGCUAAAGUAGUGCUGACUAAGGAUGCCACUACAAUUGUUGGUGAUGGUAGCACUCAGGAAGCAGUCAAUAAGCGUGUUGCACAGAUUAAAAACCUGAUAGAGGCUGCAGAGCAAGAUUAUGAAAAGGAAAAGCUAAAUGAAAGGAUUGCAAAAUUAUCUGGAGGUGUGGCUGUCAUACAGGUUGGAGCACAAACUGAAACUGAGUUGAAAGAGAAAAAACUUAGAGUGGAAGAUGCUCUCAAUGCAACAAAGGCCGCUGUCGAGGAAGGUAUUGUUGUUGGAGGAGGGUGCGCACUCCUCAGACUUGCUGCGAAAGUUGAUGCCAUCAAGGAAACCCUUGUAAAUGAUGAGGAGAAGGUUGGAGCUGAUAUUGUCAAAAGAGCAUUGAGCUACCCUUUGAAAUUGAUUGCUAAAAAUGCUGGCGUUAAUGGAAGUGUUGUCAGUGAGAAGGUGCUCUCAAGUGACGAUCAAAAAUUUGGAUAUAAUGCAGCAACUGGCAACUAUGAAGACUUAAUGGCUGCUGGCAUCAUUGAUCCAACAAAGGUGGUGAGAUGUUGUCUAGAGCACUCAGCAUCUGUGGCCAAGACAUUCUUGAUGUCAGAUUGCGUGGUGGUUGAGAUCAAGGAGCCUGAGCCAGCGGUUGUUGGCAACCCAAUGGACAACUCAGGGUACGGUUACUAGGUGAAUGAAUGAAGGCUACUGAUACCGGAUGAUAGUGAUAGAAGAUUAAUGCUUGGAAGCCUUAAUUUUUUGUUGAAGUUUAGCAUUAGGAUGUAAAAUUAAUAUUAGAGGAGGCAAGCUGGUGCAAAUGCGGAUCCAACGGGAAAAAGAAUAGGAUAAAUUUUAAACACGGAAAUGUCGUUGGUUUAUAAAAUUUUUCUUUUACAAGAAAAUUGGCCCUCAUACCAGCUAGUGUGUCUUAUGCUUUUGUUAUGAUAACUUCAGCUUCUACAAAAUAUAGAUGAUCGGAGGACUUGGCUCUGUAUCUAAUUAUUACCCUAUCCUACUUGAAAAUUAAAAACUUGUUUUACAUGUUUUUUUUCAAAGAAUUUCUCUGGAAUAAAGGGUUGGGACAUUUGGUUAGGGGUGGACAUGGGUAUGAUAUGGUACGAUUUUUGAAAUUUUGAUAUGGUAAUUUCGGUCUUCAAUUUGUAAAAGCAUUAUAUACCAUUGUCAUAUCAUAUUAAUUCAAUAUGGUUUGGUAUUUUGAC